AUUCGAGUUUUCCGCCACAUUCAUGUUGUCAUCCGAGUCCGCAUGAUCGUACUCUCUGCUGUCUCUGCCAGUGUUUUCUUCGCCAUCCACCGCCCGCAGGACAUCGCUGCCGACAGCAACUGUGAAAAUUGCCCUGUAUUAUAUCCGGAGUCAUACAUUUUGUUAAAAAGAUAACUUUUAGAUGCGUUAAUGAAUAUGAGAUUCCGAAAGAAGGUGAUCGAUGGAGAAGCCUUCGCCUUUACUGUAUCAUGUAAUAAAUUUAUUGCUGUUAAGAAAAAUAAAGAUGAAUGAUCCGUUAUGGAUGAUGAUGAUGAUGAUGAUGAUGAUGAUGAUCCGGUAUAUUCCAGGUGAGAUUUGAAUAUUAAUAGAUGGAAUUUAAGAUGCGAUUUCCUCUUUAGCAACUUCACAGACAUAAAAGUUGUCCCAGGGAUGAUGAAUCUAUCAGAGAUAAUUUCUGCCAUCUCACUCUCAGGUUGGGGGUAACAAUAAUCAUAGAAAGAACACAGUCUGCAAUAAUGAUUUGAAAUAUUCCUACAGUGAAAUUAGAUUUCGCGACCUUCAUUACAAGUCUCCUGGUCUGCAACCAUUAAAGGCGGGAGGGACGUUGAUGAUGGACAACGAACAUUAGAGAGGAGCUGGAGAUUAAAAGAAAGACCUAAUUGUGCUAAUGGAAAGAGAGAGAAACGAUAACAGUACCAAACUGCGAAUCAUUAUUCGUUUGAAAUGAGAAGGAGAUGUUUGGACUGGACAUUUUCAAGAUGUACUUGUUAGUAGUUUAAUAUACGAUAGAAAUUUCUUAGCCAUUAAAAGACAAUAUAUGCAAAUUUAACAUUAAAUGCUUAUACGUACAAGAACUUCUAUAUUCUGUUUGGUUUAUGGCCGAAUCUUAGAAACAGAAUGAAAAAUGGUUAAUGACUUUUUCAGUAAAAUUCAUUUUUUUUCCAUCAUCGUCCGUCUAAAACAAAGAGUCUGAACUCCCUCUCCGAGGAGUACAAUCAGCUUGCAAAUUGACCAUCCGGUUGGAACUCAAUGCUCACAGAUAACCGAAUCAGGAUCUCCCAGGAUAGUUUCGAGCAUCCGCAAAACGAGUUUUCUUUAUUAUAAUUGCUUUCAUGAUAAAGAUGGGCACGUGCAACCACCGCAGACUCCCUGGCAAUUGUAAUAAUCUUUAAUUAAAUUGUAUCAAAUAAAGAUAAAUUUGCGUAAUUGAGUAUUUUUAUUCAUUUUUUCUACGAUAAUUCAUCGAAAACCAUCGCCUGUUUUCAAUUUUAUUGAGUGUGUCUGAGACCGACUUUCCCUUUUUGGGAAUUUCUCUACAUCCACAUUAGCAUUGUCACUUUAAUAUCGCAAUUUUUCUAUUAAUUACUCAAGUUAUAUCAUAAUAUUCCACAAGUAAAUUUGACAAAAGGUAUGAUAUUACACGAUAACUUUGCAAAGA